rnacentral:RNase_P_RNA from 1 species
CAGGUGUAAUAGGUAGUUAAUUGCUUCUUGGCAAUAGGAAAGUCCGAGCUGCUAUAAGAGAGUGUUUCAUCUAACGGAUGACCGUCGUAAGGCGAGGGAAAGUGCAACAGAAAUAUUACAGCCGCUUUUAGCGGUGAUGGUGAAAAGGUGGUGUAAGAGACCACCGGUCUUUAUGGCAACAUAGAGAGCUUGUAAACCCAACACGGCAGCAAGAAACAAACGGUUAGCCUCUUAUAAGGUGUUUUUACACUAAUGCUUUUGUUUCGCUAGAGACACUUUGUGAAAAGUGUAGUAGAUUAAUGCUACCACAACAAAACUCGGCUUAUAUUACACCUAUAUU